GUCAGCAGAUAGGCAGAGCAUCCUGGUGUAAAUGAAAGGGUCCGACAACAUCUGUGGUGAAGAGGUAUGGAUAAUAAACCAGGUUGAUCAGAGAACAAUACAGCAUAGAUCAGGCCCUUUGAAGCACCAUACCAAACAUCAAGCUUCGAAUUGUACACUGAUCAUUGCUCAAUUCAUUUCAUUCCACAUUCCCAUCAACGCUUCGGUUUCCACUAGAUGUUGAAUGAGUAGCAGGAUCUGGGCCAUUGAUGAAAAUGUAAGCAAAUUAAAUUGUAUUUCGCGUAAAUGGGCAACUGAUGGUCGACAUGCGUUUGCUCGGCCGAAUUGCCUGGUUCAUUGUUCCCUAUCCCUAUUGAACAAUUAUGGCCAGAUUACACCACUCACCUAUGCACCGGAGACAACCUACAUCGUCCAAUUGACCUAUCAAACAACAUGUGUAUUGGUUGGUGUAACUUAACAGAUCCGGCAGAAUAUAUGGAGAGAGGAUAACAAACGUUUAGGGUCCGGACACUUCUUCAACGAUUGUAGUGAGCACAUGGGAGAGAAAGCUGGAAAAGAGGCGGUGCAGAACAAGUCAGAUUGGUUACAAUAGGGUGGAGAAACCUGAAGAAUAGUUGAUGGGGAGGAGGAGAUUAUAUUGGUUGGUCAUCAUUUAGAGUCCCUUUCAGUAGGAUUCGGAACCCUUCUACCGCAGUAUCAGUUUCCAAAGCGCCACAAUUUCUGCGACAUUUGGAAAUGUACACACUUACCUACCUACACUUACGUCCAAGGACAAGCAUGGGUUUUGUUUACUGGAACGUUGAAAGCUCCGAACCCGAAACAUAUGUUCUCUCGUCUUCCACAUUUCCUCUUAGCGAAAAAGGUCCUUAAUUUCACACGAUGGAUGCCUCUCAUAGUUUUCUAGAUCAAUCAACGAAUGGACAUUUGCAUUAAUGGAGGACGAUUGUAUAAACUCAUGUUUUAUCCCAAGACCUUGCAGAUGAAGCGGCCGUUGUGUCCUGGGCGCGAUGCGCGAGGUAGCCCACCAACGUGACCUGCCGCGGCAUUGUGCAAUCCAACUCCCCCGUCAACGUCACAUGGGGAUUCCUGAACCGGACCAUCACGAUGACGGACACGGCCGGGGGCGUCCAGGCAAAUUGCGUUCGCGUCGGUUCGCUGGUGUUCAUCACACUGAUCGUCCGCGGGGUAAACCUGACGGUGGAGACUGUGAACUUCUCGGCAUCCAACCCUCUGUGGCUGGUCCCUUUGCGGGCUGAGCUGGAGGUCCAGACAGACGAUGGGAUGGGAGACGGAGAAGGUGAGAUAAGAAUUGAAUGAAAAGCGUCACAUUAACCAAUUUCAUGAAUCAAGAAUCAAAAGGAUUUAACUGUCGUAUGCACAGUCAAUGGAACAACGAAAUUCGUUUUUGUGCAGCGGCAUAACAGAUCUUCAUGCUCUACGCUAAUAGAUGAUAUCAAUGAAGCAAACAACCAAUAAUGUAAUUAUCACAAUACAAGUGAAAUAAACAAAAUGAGUGCAA